GAUGAAGAAACGUAGCGAAAUGCGAUAAGUAAUGUGAAUUGCAGAAUUCAGUGAAUCAUCGAAUCUUUGAACGCACAUUGCGCCCGCCAGUAUUCUGGCGGGCAUGCCUGUUCGAGCGUCAUUUCAACCAUCAAGCCCCCGGCUUGUGUUGGGGACCUGCGGCUGCCGCAGGCCCUGAAAAGCAGUGGCGGGCUCGCUGUCACACCGAGCGUAGUAGCAUACAUCUCGCUCUGGGCGUGCUGCGGGUUCCGGCCGUUAAACCACCUUCAUAACCCAAGGUUGACCUCGGAUCAGGUAGGAAGACCCGCUGAACUUAAGCAUAUCAAUAAGCGGAGGA
rnacentral:misc_RNA from 1 species